AUCGCUUCUCGGCCUUUUGGCUAAGAUCAAGUGUAGUAUCUGUUCUUAUCAGUUUAAGUGUAUAUUUAAAUACAUGAUUCUUUUUUUAUUAUUUUCU
rnacentral:snRNA from 1 species